UUUUUAGACAUGGCUUCACUCUGUUGUCCAGGCUGGAGUGCCGUGGUGCAAUCAUGGUUCACUGCAACCUCCAACUCCUUGACUCAAGCAAUCCUCCCACGUCAGCCUCCUGUAACCAGGACCACAGGCACGUGCCACUACACCCAGCUAGUUUUUUAAUUUUUUAAUUUUUUAAUUUUUUGAGAUGGAGUCUUGCUCUGUCACCCAGGCUGGAGUGCAGUGGUGCAAUCUUGGCUUACUGAAACCUUCGCCUCCCAGAUUCAAGCGAUUGUUGUGCCUCAGCCUCCCAAGUAGCUGGGAUUACAGGCGUGCGCCACCAUGCCUGGCUAAUUUUUGUAUUUUUAGUAGAGAUAAGGUUUCACCAUGUUGGCCAGGCUGGUCUCGAACUCCCAACCUCAGGUGAUCCGCCCACCUCAGCCUCCCAAAGUGCUGGGAUUACAGGUGUGAGCUGCCGUGCCCAGCCUAGUUUUUAAUUGUUUUUGUAGAGAUGGGGUCUUGCCAUGUUGUCCAGGCUGGUCUGGAGCUCCUGGAUGAAGGGAUCCUCUUGCCUUGGCCUCCCAAAGUACUGGAGUUACAGGAAUAAGCCACCACACCCAGCCUAUUUUACUAAAAAAUUAAAAAAAGAAAGUAGGAGAGAGAGGAAGAGACUGGUGUACACACUCUUCUAGUUCUUUAGGGAAGAGACAAAGUCGGUCCUUCCCAUUGCAUCCUGUGUAUGGUAAGGACUGAAAUAAAUGUUUGUAGAUUAAAUUCUAUUUUUUCUCCUGUAGUUAAACUCCAUUUAAAACUUUUUUUUUUUGAGACAGUCUCACUCUGUUGCCCAGCCUGGAGUGCAGUGGCACGAU
rnacentral:lncRNA from 10 species